UAGGAUAUAGAUAUUCAGGUCUGUCUGUAAAGGCCUAUACUUUAAGAAUGUAGGUUUAUGUUUAUCAUUUAGCUGGUUAUAGAGGUAUAAAAGAAAGAAUCAAAAUAACUGUCUGCUUGUGUAGCGGCCUUCUCUCACUGUAACAGUCUGAGGCCCUGUUCUUAAGCUGAUGCCUUUGGCUAAGCAGUGGGAGCAGCCAUAAGCUGGGAAACGUAUGGUCACAUCCUCACAUUCCAAACUACUCACAUUGAAAUGAGAU